rnacentral:rRNA from 1 species
GAUCAACUCGUGAAUUUGUUUGAAUACGAUGGGAUGGCUCGGUGUUUAACUCCUUGUCCUCCCUUUGGUUGGCAGGGGCAGCCAGUUGUGUGCUCCCCUCCCAACAAACUAAACCCCGGCACUCAAUGUGCCAAGGAACAAAAAUUGGUUCAGUGCGCCCCUGUUGGCACCGGAGACGGUGCUCAUGUGGAGGUGUGAUGCAUGGUAUAUACAAAUGACUCUCGGCAACGGAUAUCUAGGCUCUUGCAUCGAUGAAGAACGUAGCGAAAUGCGAUACUUGGUGUGAAUUGCAGAAUCCCGUGAACCAUCGAGUUUUUGAACGCAAGUUGCGCCCGAGGCCAUUAGGUUGAGGGCACGUCUGUUUGGGUGUCACAUAUCGUUGCCCAAUGCCUAUUGAUAGCUUUGUAGGGCGAAUGAUGGCUUCCCGUGAGCACUGUUCUCUCAUGGUUGGCUGAAAAUGAGUCAUUGGUAGGGUGUGUGCCAUGGUAGAUGGUGGUUGUGUGACCCACGAGACCGAUCAUGUGCAGCUCUACCAGUUUGGCCUUUAUGACCCACUAGCGUCCUUGGAUGCUCAUGA